CUCCAAAAGACACACUGUUUAAUUUUGAAAGUCCAUAGACUUUCAAAAAGAGUUGGGAAACACUUGAGUAAAUCGACUAUAAACAAAAGCUCUCAACUGUCAAUUACCAAUAUGGGCUCAUAGCUCAGAUGGUUAGAGCGCACGCCUGAUAAGCGUGAGGUCGGUGGUUCGAUUCCACUUGAGCCCACCAAAGAAUGCUAGAGAUAGUAUUCUAAGAAAGAUUGCACAUUGAAAACUGUAUAAUGUAGAAAAAAGAGAAUAAAGGGUAACGAAAGUAUUAAGCAAAAACAAUACACGUUAUUCUUAGGAUUACUCUAAACGACGAAUGUAAAGAAGAUUCAUUUACUGAUUUAAACGUAGCAAGUUUAAAUCAGUUUAAAUUUUCAAGAUGCGAGUAGUACAAGGAAAGCAAGCUUCGAGGAGCGGAGUGUAUGAAGUAUACACGAGCACCGCAGAAGUGAAGCUUAACGCAGUAAUACGAAGCAUAUUGGGAAUUUAGGUAUAAAUUUUCAAGAUGCGAGUAGUACAAGGAAGACAAGUUUGGAGGAGUGGAGCAUAUUUAGUAUAUGUGAGCACCGCACAAACGCAGUCUGACGCAGUAAUACGAAGCAUAUUGGGAAUUUAUAAAAGGUCAAGCUAUUAAGGGCAUAGGGUGAAUGCCUUGGCACCAGGAGUCGAUGAAGGACGUGAUAAGCUGCGAUAAGCCACGGUAAGGCGCAAAUAGCCAUAGACCCGUGGAUUAACGGGAUGGGGAAACCC
rnacentral:misc_RNA from 1 species